GUGGCAGGCUUGCAGUUGACUAGCAGAUCACUUGAUGGUAUGAGCUCAGGUUUCAACCGAGCUUCCAUGCACGAAUCGGUCGCACAUAUUUUUUUUCAUUGUUUGUAUUUUCAUAAACAUAAGUACUGUUUCUCUUUGUCGGGCUUCUAGUUGUGUCGUAGGACCUAACUGUUUACCUUUAUUUUUAUUGAUAGCCAUGUUACACAGACAGCUCAAUUUUUGUUGUAAAUCGUGACAUGGUAGGACUAAGGACAUUUGUGCAAAUUUGUUGCAGGUACACUCUGGCGGCUCCUACCCCUGCGUCCUUCCACCACCCUGUCCUGACUACGUCCACUAGGUAGUUGGGAGCCUUUGGCGGCUUCUGCCACUGCAUCCAGCCGCCACCAUGUCCCGACUACGCCCACUAGGGAGUUGGCAGCCUUAGCGAUGAUGCCAACAGGCUGACAGCCGACAGAAAGAUUCAGGUUGCCUCGAAAUUUUACCCAAGCCAUGCCCCACACUCGGGCCAGGCCUCUUGCGAAUGACGUAUAACCAGGCUCAACGCAUCAGUGUCGAAUCAAUUUUCAACUGACGCUAACACGCACAAGUUGUGGGGGAAAAGUGCCAACAAGAGUACCAUAAGGUAAGACAGCUGUUUUUACUGUUAGAUUGGAUUAUCAAUU
rnacentral:lncRNA from 1 species